UACAGAGGUCUCGAGCGUUAGGCGGAAUCACUGGGCUUAAAGCGUGUGUAGGUGGAUGCCUAAGUACCUUGUGAAAUCCCACAGCUUAACCGUGGAACUGCUUGGUAUACUGGGUGUCUUGAGUCACUCAGGGGCGAGCGGAACAAAUGGUGGAGCGGUGAAAUGCGUAGAUAUCAUUUGGAACGCCAAUGGUGAAAACAGCUCGCUGGGGGUGCACUGACACUGAGACACGAGAGCCAGGGGAGCGAACGGG
rnacentral:rRNA from 1 species